rnacentral:rRNA from 1 species
CCCUUAGAUGUUCUCGGCCGCACACGCGCUACACUGAAAGAGGCAACGUGUUUGCCUGAUUCGAAAGAAUUGGGUAACCCCCUAAUCUCUUUCGUGCUGGGGAUUGAGGUUUGCAAUUAUCCUUCAUGAACGAGGAAUUCCCAGUAAGUGCGAGUCAUUAUCUCGCGCUGACUACGUCCCUGCCCUUUGUACACACCGCCCGUCGCUACUACCGAUUGAAUGAUUUAGCGAGGACUUCGGACUGAGUCCAAUGCGGCUUUCGGGCUGCGUUGGUAUUUCGGAAAGAUGUCCAAACUGUAUCAUUUAGAGGAAGUAAAAGUCGUAACA